UUAUCUUUGAUUAGAUGCCAGAAAUGGUCACUUUUACCUUAUUGGGUGGUGGAUCUUUUUGAUUCUUAUAAAUCUUCUUGAGCUUUGUUCUGGGAUGUGUUAAGUUGCCUGGAAAUUGUUUGAUCUUCUUGGGUCUUGCUUUUAUGAUUUAUUUGGCAUAUCUGAGCAGUCUAGGGCUAAUUAUGCCCCACUACUAAGCAAGAUUUUCUGGGGUACUCUACCCAAUGCUCAUAAAGUAUGAUUUCAUUCAGCUGUCAGAGGGGGGAAUAUGCAAUAUUCCCAGCCCCGUGUGAGCAUCAGACAAUGUUCUUUAAUCUUUUCAAAUUAUUUUUCCUCCAUCCUGAAGUGUUACUUCACAUGCAUGUGCUAAUCAGGACUCUGUUGAAUAUCAGAGGGGGAUGCUCUGCAGAUAGUCAGGGCUCUUUCUCUGCACAUCUCUUUCCUUUUAUUACUUUGUCCAUCCAUGAACUCUAGUCCACUUGGUUUCCCUAACUCGCAGCCUUAUUACCUCAGUUCAAGGAUCCUACUGGGCUCCUCUCAGACUUUCUUCUCUGUCCCGUAGCCUGCAUAGUCUCUGAAGGCAGCAAGCUGGGGCAGUCAUAGGGCUUACCUAGUUUGUUUCUUGUCUCUUAGGGAGUAACUAUCCUUUGUUGUCUUAGGUCUAGUGUCUUGAAAAUGGCGUUUCUGACAUUUUAUCUUUUUUAUUUUGAAUGCAGGAGGGUAAAUUCAAUCCUGGUAACUUAAUUGUGGGCAAAAGUGCAAAUCUCCUGGCAUCCAAUUCUUACCAUAGAUUUCUGAUGUCUGGAAGCAUGGUGGAGCAACACACUUCUGAAGGGACAGCAGGUGCUGUAGUGAAGUUUUCCACAAAAGAAGAAAAUGUUGUGCUCUUUGUCUACCUCACCAACUUCCCUUCAGCCCUUGGGGAGUGUAGAAGACCUCCAUGUUCAUCAGGGCUCCAUUUUAAGGAGAGAACAGAAGUUGGAGGAUAAGGUGGGAGUUCUGAUUGAUGUGGACCAGAUAAGGUGACAUCUGGCCAAAGAGGAAGCUGGGAGCCACAGACUGCUAAUAGGAUGAAGGGAGACACAGCUACCCCUCUGUGGGGUCAUCAGAGAUGGAGGGGGCUGGCAUAAAGAUGAACAUCUGCGUCCAAAACCAUAUAACUCCAUACACCACAUCAUCUAAUAGGAGACCAACAUAUUGUCAGAGGCCGCCAGCAACAGAGGGAAGCAGGUAAAGCCAGUGUAAGAUCAGGAGCCUUUUUCCACCAAUGACAAACAGCCACUUAUUUAGAGCGAUCUCUGUUAUUCCUCUUAUUUUCCCUUCUUCCCUCAACAUGAAAGGCACUAGACCCAGAAAAGAAAGGAGAAAAUUAGAAGACAAGACCACAACCUUUUACCACCCUUGGUGUUUUUUUUUUCUUUUUUCUUUUUUUUGACAGUCUCACUCUGUUGCCCAGGUGCUGGAGUGCAGUGGCGUGAUCUCGGCUCACUGCAAACUCCGCCUCCCAGGUUCAAGUGAUUCUUGUGCCUCAGUCUCCCAAGUAGUUGGGACUACAGACAUGCACCACCAUGCCCAGCUAAUUUUGUAUUUUUUUUGUAGUGACAGGGUUUCUCCAUGUCCCCUUCCCACUCUCGUAACUUGAGGUACAAGUCUGGCAAACAUUGAAGCGAGACGAGGAAGUGCUAUUGAAACUGGAUAUGAGAUGGGAGUUGUGAACUAGACCAGACGGGACUUUUGGUAACUGAUAUCGAUGGGAAAGCAAUGGGAUCUACCUGAAAAUAUCAUUAGAAAAUGAUACUGACAGAUAGGACAAAUCAUGGUUAACAGUUGUGGCUAGAGUAAACAAGUUGAACUGUUUAUACCUAUACCGCAAUGGAUUGAGGCUUCUCAAUAAACUGGUUACAUCUGAUCUGCUAACAACAGCUGCUAAACAUUGAAAGGGGUACUGUGCUGACUGCUGUAUACACACUAUGUCAUUUGCUCUUCACAACCUAUAGGAUGGGCACUAGUUUUUCCCCCUUUUGGCAGAUGACAGAAACCGAGGCACAACCAACUUGUCUAAAUAUAGAUUACAGAAAUUUCACAUGUAUCUCUCCAGUUCACAGGAAGUGUCAUUCUCCUUAAUCACUUUGCUCUUAUCCUUGAUGUUUUUCCAAACAUUUUUGCUGAUGUUGAGUGUUUUCCAUUUCUCUGAGCUGUGUUGUCAGUCCAUCUCCUGAUGAAGCAAGGGCAGUUUGAAUGCUGAAUGGAGGUGGAUGAGGAAGGGGAACACUACGUGAAAAUAUUUGUUUUACACAGAUGAAAUGUUGGAUCAGAACGCACGGAACUACAUCCAGGGAGGCCGCGAGGAACACAAGGGGAGCAGAUAAUGACAUGGUCCACAACACACUUAAGGAGUUGGCAGAGUUUGGGAUCAGGGGAUUCUGCGCGUGUGUGGAUAAUCAGCAUUCAGGAGAAGGUGUAGUGCACGAACAGAAAUAUCAGCAGUUUGUGGCAUUAAGCCCACAAAUUUCAGGAAGUUGGAUUCCAAACUCUAGGACAUGAGGUCCAAGUCUGCUGGAGUUUGCUGUCGGUCCACUCCAGACCCUGUUUGCCUGGAUAUCACCAGCAGAAGCUACAGAACAGCCAAGAUUGCUGCCCUUUCCUUCCUCUGGAAGCUUUGUCUCACAUGGGCACCCACCAGAUGCCAGCCAGAGCUCUCCCAUAUGAGGUGUCUGUCAACCCCUUCUGGGAGGUGUCUCCCCAUCAGGAGGCACAGGGGUCAGGUACCCACUUGAGGAGGCAAUCUGUCCCUUAGCAGAGCUCAAGUGCUGUGCUUGGAGAUCCACUUCUCUCCUCAGAGCCAGCAGUCAGGAAUGUUUAAGUCUGCUGAAGCUGUGCCCACAGCCAACCUUCCCCCAGGUGCUCUGUUCCAGGGAGAUGAGAGUUUUAUCUAUAAGCCCCUGACAGGGGCUGCUGCCUUUCUUUCAGAGAUGUCCUGCCCAGAGAAGAAGAAUCUAGAGAAGCAGUCUGGCUACAGCGGCUUUGUGGAGCUGCAGUGGGCUCUGCCCAGUUUGAAAUUUCAGGCCGCUUUCUUUAUACUGUGAGGGGAAAACCGUCUACUCAAGCCUCAGUAAUGGUGGAUGCCCUUCUCUGCACCAAGCUCGAGCAUCCCAGGAUGACUUCCGACUGCUGUGCUGGCAGCGAGAAUUUCAAGCCAGUGGAUCUUAGCUUGCUGGGCUCCAUGGAGAUGGGAUCCACUGAGCUAGACCACUUGGCUCCCUGGCAUCAGCCCCAUUUCCAGAUGUUGGGUGCAGUUUCCCAAGGUGUACAAAGCAGGAAGACAUAAAAUGGCAAAAAAAAUCUGCCUGUUGGAGAUAUAUUUACAACAACUGGAUGCGAAAACAUUUCAGUUUGGCACUGUGGGCUUUUGAGCUAAUGAGUCUCAGCCUGAUUUAAGAAGUAAGCAACAAAGGGCCAAUAUGCAAAGGCCAUCUCUGGCUCAUUUAUAUAACAAUUUGUUAAAUCCUAGAGAAUGGUACAACACAGAGUGUCUAAUGUAAACUUGGACUUUUGUUAAUAAUAAUCUAUCAAUAUUGGUUCAUUAAUUUCAAUAAAUGUAUCACACAAAUGCAAGAGGUUAUCAAAAGGGGAAACUCUGUGGGAGGGGGGCAGGUAGGGAAGAGGGAGUGGGGCUAUGUGGGAACUUUAUAUACCUUCUGCACAAUUUUUCUGUGAACCUAAAACUUCUAUAGAAAAUAAAGUCUAUAAAAAUGUUAAAAGUCAAUGAGGAGAAAAAGGAGAGCGAAAUAAAUGGAAACUUGGGGGAAAUUUUGUAAUUCACAAAAUAAAAUCAAAAGUCAAAACCAAAUAAUUCUGCACAUCCAAAAUAUAACUAACAAGUCCAUUGAAUUAUAAACUGGUCAGAAACACAUGCAACAGUUAUAACAGAUCAAAAAGAGAUUUGUGCAAGUUUAAUGCAAAGGAAAUGUGGAGUAAGGCAUUAAGUAGGCAGUUUAGAGAAAAUGAAUACAAUUUUUUGAGAGGAAAGAAGGCCACCCUAACUCAAUAAACAAGUAAAAUAUUAUCACUGUGAGUUUCUAUUUUUCAUCUGUAAAUUUGGAAAAUACAAAAAACCCUGAAACCUGUAACACCCACCUGACAAACUCACAUAUGCUGUUGGUGGACAUGUACACUGGUAACUAUUUCAGAAUAUUUUUGAUAUCGUAAUAAAAACAGCACAUAGCCUUUGACAAAAUAGUUCUAUUCAUAGAAAUAUUUCCUACAUUCUUACUUACAGAUAUGCUCAAAACAUAUGUACAAGGGUGUUUGUGGCAGCUUUCGUUUUAUUAGCCAAAGACUGGACACUACCCAACUACACAUUGGUAAGAUUUGUACCAUGUAACAAGUAGCUUUUGCCAGAAAUUUUAAAUCUUGUAUGCCACUUAUUGGUUCAGGAUUUUAAUGUAUAUGUCUCUAAAUAAACUAUAUUUAUGUCUGCUUUGCAUUGAUCCCCUUCCACUGCAAAUUUUCAUCACCUAUCGAGGUCCCACCAGCCUAUUGUGUCUUUGCUUAUCUUACUGUACAGAUAACUCACAUGGAUUCCAAUAUGGACCACAAUUUGGACAGCUUCUUCAUUGUAUAAGAUAUAAGUAAAUCAUGUCACCUCAAUACAAAUAUUGAGUUCUUGAGGGCAAAUGUUAGGUCUUCUUCAUUUGUUGUUGUUUUUUUUUUUCUCCCUGGAACCUAAUACAUGAUAAAGACUUGCUGAUUAGAAGUAAUUUUUCCUAACCAUAAGACAGUUCUUAUAGUACAUAUCCUCAUUACAUAACUAUGUAUUAAACCUAAGGAAAAUGCUCAAGAGUUUGUCCCUUUUGUUUGGUCCUUGCUUUUUCUGGCACACUUCAUAUUGCCAAGGCCCGUAAGGGUAAGAGAGAGAGUCAUACCUGAACUUGAUAUUGUCAUCUGGAGGAGAUUCAUAACAACAAAGUAUCUGGAGAAAGAUAGCCCUGUAGUUUCCAUUAUACCUGUGAUAAGAAAUUAGGCAGGUUCAGUGAGAACAGGAUUAAUAUGUCACAGAAAUCACAUAUCUCCACAUCUUCCUGCAGUAAUUAACUCUCAAAUAGAGUUACCAGAUGAAACGUAGAACCCCCAGUUAGAUUUGAAUUUCAGAUCGGCAGUGCAAGUUUUUUGGUAUAAAUAUUUCUUGUGCAUCAUAUAAUUUUUAUUUUCUAAAUCUGGUAACUCUACUUUUAAGAUGUUCAAUAUAAUGACCAAGUCCAGCCAGAGGCUUCUUUCUCAUUAAAGGAUUUCUU
rnacentral:lncRNA from 1 species